UACGUAGGGUGCGAGCGUUAAUCGGAAUUACUGGGCGUAAAGCGUGCGCAGGCGGUUCGUUAAGUCAGAUGUGAAAGCCCCGGGCUCAACCUGGGAACUGCAUUUGAAACUGGCGGGCUUGAGUAUGGCAGAGGGGGGUGGAAUUCCGCGUGUAGCAGUGAAAUGCGUAGAUAUCCGGAGGAACACCGGUGGCGAAGGCGGCUUCCUGGACCGACACUGACGCUGAGGCGCGAAAGCUAGGGGAGCAAACGGG
rnacentral:rRNA from 1 species